rnacentral:rRNA from 1 species
AGUGAACGCUGGCGGUAGGCCUAACACAUGCAAGUCGAACGGCAGCACAGUAAGAGCUUGCUCUUCCGGGUGGCGAGUGGCGGGCGGGUGACGAAUACAUCGGACUCUACUUUUUCGUGGGGGAUAACGUAGGGAAACUUACGCUCAUACCGCAUCCGACCUACGGUUGAAAGCAGGGGAUCUUCGGACCUUGCGCGAUUGAAUGAGCCGAUGUCGGAUUAGCUAGUUGGCGGGGUAAAGGCCCACCAAGGCGACGAUCCGUAGCUGGUCUGAGAGGAUGAUCAGCCACACUGGAACUGAGACACGGUCCAGACUCCUACGGGAGGCAGCAGUGGGGAAUAUUGGACAAUGGGCGCAAGCCUGAUCCAGCCAUACCGCGUGGGUGAAGAAGGCCUUCGGGUUGUAAAGCCCUUUUGUUGGGAAAGAAAAGCAGCAGGUUAAUACCCCGCUGUUCUGACGGUACCCAAAGAAUAAGCACCGGCUAACUUCGUG